rnacentral:rRNA from 1 species
AUUGAACGCUGGCGGCAUGCCUUACACAUGCAAGUCGAACGGCAGCACGGGUGCUUGCACCUGGUGGCGAGUGGCGAACGGGUGAGUAAUACAUCGGAACGUACCUUAUCGUGGGGGAUAACGCAGCGAAAGUUGCGCUAAUACCGCAUACGCCCUGAGGGGGAAAGCGGGGGACCGUAAGGCCUCGCGCGAUUAGAGCGGCCGAUGUCUGAUUAGCUUGUUGGUGAGGUAAAAGCUCACCAAGGCGAUGAUCAGUAGCUGGUCUGAGAGGACGAUCAGCCACACGGGGACUGAGACACGGCCCAGACUCCUACGGGAGGCAGCAGUGGGGAAUUUUGGACAAUGGGGGCAACCCUGAUCCAGCUAUGCCGCGUGAGUGAAGAAGGCCUUCGGGUUGUAAAGCUCUUUUGUCAGGGAAGAAACAGCAGCUCUAACACAGUCUGCGAAUGACGGUACCUGAAGAAUAAGCACCGGCUAACUACGUGCCAGCCGCCGCAGUAA